rnacentral:lncRNA from 1 species
CAUUGACUGCAUAUCAUGUUGUACAGUCUAUCAUGUUGUACAGUCUCUGAAGGCUAUAAUCAGAUCUAUUUAUAUUUUACCCUUCACAGUGAUGGCCUUCAUUGUCUUGAAGAGCUGUAAUCUUAAUUUUCAUGAACUAGUUACACCAUUUCAGGUUCCCAGGAACCAAGGCAUAUUUAGAAUACAAAUGACUUUGGAUGGAUAUUUUAAUGAUAUACAGCUUAUUUUAUCUGAAUAUACUAUUUUCAACCUAGGCAAGAUAUAGGAUCUAACUGGUCUGGUUCUGUUGAUCGUUGUCUAGUAUAAGAUUUACAUUUGUAAUUCAACUAACCAUAGGUUAUGAAUGUGGGUUACAAACUCAGCACUUCUCAGAAGUGGCCUAUGGGCCUGGUGGGCUUUUCUGAGUAUUAUAGACUUCUUUCCAAUACGUUGAUUUGGCUUCCUGAAACCAUGCCCCAUUCUGCAAUUUGGGAUCAUUCAACUUUCAGGCAUAAACUCAGGUGACUUGCAUAUUUUAAUAAAGGAUAACAAGAUAAAAAUGUCCAUAAAAUACCCAUAUGAGUAUUACUACAAAGAAGAUAUUGCACAUGCCUUUGAUUUCAUCUCAUGGAGUUAUAAAAAUUGUGUGCUAUCUGCAGAUAGGCUGGCUCCAAAAAAGAGCAGAGGUAUGACUGAGCUGAGCAUGCUCAGACCCUUUUCCAAACUUACCAAUCAAAAAAGUCAUUAGUCAUGGAGGUGGCAGGGCUAAGUGAGAAGAGACAUGUGAGAUACAUUUCUACCACCCUUUUCUCCCUGAGGAGGAAUGAGAUGUAGUUUUUUUUUUUAUCUCUGAAAAUCUGAAGAGUGGUAAAUGAGUACUCUUUUCUCCUCUAUUAAUUGAGCCUAGGCAAUAAGUCCCAGGGAUAUAAUAAUCCCAAGAGGGGAGGGGGUCAGAAGUCAAUCAGAAUGGUCUUCCCACUUUCAGUGAAUUUUUGCCCCCAAAAUUAACUUUAGGUAUUUUCCUCAGACGCUCAGAGAGUUUAAUCUUCGGUAUCUAGAAGGCUCUGAAAUGAUUUCUAUCAUAUGCCACUAGCCCCAGAAUUCAUACUAUAUCUUAUUUCCCAUCUCAAAUUAUAGCCCCUAAAAAACUGGUGUAUUAAGAUUUUUUUUCUUAUUUAUUUUGGCCCAUGGGAAGGAAUAAUUUACUCGUUUGCACAGGAGAAAUACUAUUUUCCAUUUACAUUGAAGAAGAAAAUAAGUACCUUGGAGCUUAAGAGAAGUUAUACUUACUUGGGAUCAUUAAUCUAAUUGAACACAAGUGCCUUAUUAAUUUCCUUUAGCUGCUUUGUUUAUGGCUUAAAUCUAAUAAAAGUCAAAAGCUUCCUUGACAUUAAGACAUUGAAAAAAAAAAAAAACACUUUCUAGAAAGCCAUUUUAGUUAAAAGGAAAGGUUAAGACAAGUUAUAAAGAGCUAGAGCUCACAUGACCACAUUCAAUAUAAGUACAGGAAACCUACUGAUUCAAUAAAUAUCAAUUCAAAAGCUAUACUCCUUGGAUACUUGCCAUAUCCAAGAGACAUUUGCACCACUUAGUUAUCUAGUAUAUUUCAACUAAGGUUGUAUGCUGAUGCACAUUGCACACUGGGUCUUAGAAAGCUGUCAACUAGCCAUGCAUGGUCUACAAGUGGAAGGGGCAACCACUAUAGUUAUCAUGGACUCUAGAGAUGGUCAUGGCCUGCUCCCAAAUAGGGGUCCCUGAACAGGCACCACCUGCAGUUCCAAUCACCUCAAAGGAGGGCACUGCAAUCAAACACAAGGUGUUGCUGCUCUCACUCCCCUGGGAACUCACGCACCCUGCUGUUACUACUGCCAAAUGCUCUGGUCACCUUGAAGAUCUGCCUAGAGCUUAUUUACCACUUUCCAGGGCCCUGCAACUAGGAGCAGCCUGUGCCACCUUCCUGUAGUUCCUUGCUGCUAUUGCCCAAUGACCAGGCACUGACUGCUGGCCCUAUCCAUUGCCUCCUUCUCCCUGAAAUCACACUGAGCAUCCUGGAGAUAACAGCCUGCUCCUACCGAAGAAAGAGACAGCAAAUAUUCAAACUCCCACACCAAAAAUAAAUAGUAACUCCCUCAAAAAUACAAAGGGUUAUUCUUGCAUAGAAGUAGCCUUACAAGACUACAGUGUGGAUUCCCCAAAAGCACAGAAAAAGAAAAACACAAGCAAGAUGAAGAAACGCAGAAACCAUUCCCAGUUAAAGGAACAGGAGAAUUCAUGUAAAGCAGACAACAAUGAAACAGACCUCUGCAGUCUGACAGACAUUGAGUUCAAAAUGGAGGCAUUGAAAAUACUGAAGAGUUGAGAGGAUAUGAAGAAAUUAAGAGGGAAAUGAAAACCAAUGCAGAUUACUUCAGAAAGGAACUAGAAAAUAUAAGGAGGAGACAAGAAAAACUAGAAAAUUCAUUUGCAGAGAUACAAACUGAGCUAAAGGCAAUAAAGAGCAGAAUGAAUAAUGCAGAGGAACGAAAUAGUGACAUGGAAGAUAAAAUAAAGGAAAUCACCCAAUCAGGACAGCAGACAGAAAACCAAAUGAAAAAACAUGAAAGCAAUAUAAGAGACCUAUGGGAUAAUAUAAAGCAGGCCAAUCUACACAUAAUAGG